rnacentral:rRNA from 1 species
UACAGAGGUCUCAAGCGUUGUUCGGAAUUACUGGGAGUAAAGGGCUCGUAGGCGGCCAACUAAGUCGGAUGUGAAAUCCCUCGGCUUAACCGGGGAACUGCGUCUGAUACUGGAUGGCUUGAGGUUGGGAGAGGGAUGCGGAAUUCCCGGUGUAGCGGUGAAAUGCGCAGAUAUCGGGAAGAACACCCGUGGCGAAGGCGGUUCUCUGGGACGGUACUGACGCUGAGACGCGAAAGCGUGGGGAGCGAACAGG